rnacentral:rRNA from 1 species
UCAGGACGAACGCUGGCGGCAUGCCUAACACAUGCAAGUCGAACGGAGUUCGAGGGGCUUGCUCCUUGAACUUAGUGGUGGACGGGUGAGUAACGCGUGAGUAACCUGCCUUUCAGUGGGGAAUAAUAUUCUGAAAAGAGUACUAAUACCGCAUAACGUAUAGAAGCCGCAUGACUUUUAUACCAAAGAUUUAUCGCUGAGAGAUGGACUCGCGUCCGAUUAGCCAGUUGGUGAGGUAACGGCUCACCAAAGCAACGAUCGGUAGCCGGACUGAGAGGUUGAACGGCCACAUUGGGACUGAGACACGGCCUAGACUCCUACGGGAGGCAGCAGUGGGGGAUAUUGUGCAAUGGGGGAAACCCUGACACAAGCAAUGCCGCGUGAAGGAUGAAGGUCUUCGGAUUGUAAACUUCUUUUGUCAAGGACGAUAAUGACGGUACUUGACGAAUAAGCUCCGGCUAACUACGUGCCAGCCGCUGC